UGCGCAGGCGGUUUUGUAAGACAGGCGUGAAAUCCCCGGGCUCAACCUGGGAAUUGCGCUUGUGACUGCAAGGCUGGAGUGCGGCAGAGGGGGAUGGAAUUCCGCGUGUAGCAGUGAAAUGCGUAGAUAUGCGGAGGAACACCGAUGGCGAAGGCAAUCCCCUGGGCAGUAACUGACGCUGAGGAGCGAAAGCAUGGGUAGCGAACAGGAUUAGAUACCCCCGUA
rnacentral:rRNA from 1 species